GUGGAGAAGAAACACAGCUCCUUCUCUAGAAUCUGGAACUUACUUGACAGGGAGGUUAUGGUCCCUAGGCCGCCUGUGGUUGGUUCCUGAGAUGCCCUGUGUUCACCGUGUGCAACAUUGUGUGAUUAGCUCCCCACCGACUGCCUCCCAUGAGAGUUUCUUCUGACCUUGUCCCACUUCUCCCCUGGAAAUAGUAUGAAACACACUGUGCUUCUCAGUGCGUUUCAGUUGGCAUGAGAUGCAGCCUGCGAAAGACCUCCCGAGCUUACCAGCUCUGUCAUCAUAAUCUCUGACCCCCUGGACCUUCCUCCUCAGGACCCUGUCUGUCACUCGUCUGGGUUGAAGUGGCGUCCCAGUGUAGAAGAAAGAAGCUAAAGGUCCUGCUACACCAGGAGAUUUCAUAGAAAAAUGGAGUAAGAGAAAGAACACAGAGGCCAUGUGUGUAAGAUGGCCAGGCAGCAGCAGCAUCCAGCAGAGUGACUGGAGAGGCCCCGGAUCCAGACAACUUCCUGAUGACAAAAGGUCUAAAGUCUCUUCUCCUUUUUCGCUCCUGUUCAUCGUUUCAACACAUCAGGGUUUACAAGCUUAAACUUCCAAACCCAAUUCCUCAGUUCCCUCUUACAUGCUAAUAGGGUAAUGAGUGCCCUUGAAGUUAAAACAGAGCAGCCAUUGCUGCCAAAUUGUCCUAUGCUGUUAAGACAGAAAGCUGGCUCUGGAAUACAGAAUUUGGCCCUCCCCUGUGAGACUCAGUAUGUCCAUAUAAAGGGUUACUCUGUUUCCCCUUUCCCCUUCUCACUUCACUAGCCCAACUUCCUUGAGCUAAGAAGAUGUUAUUGUUUUAACGUUUUGAUUUUUCAUUUUGAUACAG
rnacentral:lncRNA from 1 species